UACGUAGGGGGCAAGCGUUGUCCGGAAUCAUUGGGCGUAAAGCGCGCGUAGGCGGCCCGGUAAGUCCGCUCUGAAAGUCACAGGCUCAACCUGUGAAAGCGGGUGGAUACUGCCGGACUAGAGUACGGAAGAGGCGAGUGGAAUUCCUGGUGUAGCGGUGGAAUGCGCAGAUAUCAGGAGGAACACCAAUAGCGAAGGCAGCUCGCUGGGACGUUACUGACACGUGAGGCGCGAAAGCGUGGGGAGCGAACAGG
rnacentral:rRNA from 1 species